rnacentral:lncRNA from 1 species
AGGGUUUGAUUUCGGAGAUUGUCCCUUUUGUUGACGAUGCGCUCCUGGCCUUAACUGGUCGGGUCGUGCCUCCGAUGCUAUUACUUUGAAGAAAUUAGAGUACUCAAAGGAAGAUUACGCUCUGGAUACAUUAGCAUUGGAUAACAUUAUAGGAUUUGGGUCUUAUUAUGUUGGCCUUCGGGAUUGGAGUAAUGAUUAACAGUUACAAUCGGAGACAAUCACAUUUCAUAGUUAGAGAUGAAAUUCUUGGAUUUAUGAAAGAUGAACAACUGCAAAAGCAUUUGCCAAGGAUGUUUUCAUUAAUCAAGAAUGAAAGUUGGGGGCUCGAAGACGAUUAGAUAUCAUCCUAGUCUCAACCAUAAACGAUGCCGACUAGGGAUCGAUGGGUGUUGCUUAUAGGACUCCGCUGGCACCUUAUGAGAAAUCAAAGUUUUUGGGUUUCAGGGGGAGUAUGGUCACAAGGCUGAAUCUUAAAGGAAUUGAUGGAAGACCACCACCAAGAGUGGAGCCUACAGCUU